UAUUGGGUUAACUUAUCCCAGAUUAAUGUACCCCAAAAACGUUUGACCUGAAUCACAUUUGCAAUACAAAAUCUUUAACUUAACCCAUUUCAAACUGUAAGUGAAUACAAAAGACUGCAAAAAUCAGUAAAAAAAAAAGAGAAAGAUAAUGGGAAGCAAAAACCUCGAAGUGACACUAGAAGUAUUGUGUAUGGUUUAUCCAGACUUAACCCACUUCUCCUUCACUUUACUUUAUCUAUUCUAUCCUUGGUUACUUUUAGACAACUGGACUUGAUCCAAUCUUAUCUACACUACCCAAAGCGGGUUAUAUUAACGAACUGAACUAUGCAGUGUGAAUCGGUCUCUCAAAAGCUGGGAUUAAAACAAAAUCUAUGUUUUGUAAAAACCUUUGGCUAUAAAGUCAAUUGAAACCCGUGUAUGAAUAUAAGAAUGGUAUUUUAAAAUCGAUUUACGAAAUACCUAUAUGUAUUUCAAAAUAUCGCAACAAAGAAUGACGUAACGUGUAAAUGCCAUGGCCCCUUAGAAAUAGGCCGAAGAUCCAAAGAAACCAAGAACUGGGUGAACAGUAGAAUCUUUCUGGGACGACCUGCUGUACGGAAGAAGGUUGGAAAUCACCAAGUUAUUGUAGCAAAUAAGGGGGUAAAGUUCUUUGGACGAAUCGGAGAUAGAAACUGGGGCCCUUACAUUACCAGUUUGGUGACCAAACUAUUGAGCUACCCAGCCCGAUAUACAAGGAAAAAUAUAAAUGGUGUGUUGCUGAAGAAGUAUGGCUCUACAAUGAAGACGUCUUGUGCUUAACUUGGAAAUGUUAUUAAAUCUGGAUUCACAUUUUACAGACGAAUAUGAUUUUUCUGAGGAUGAAUUUCUUUCCCCAAUUUUAUCACCACUUAAUGGGGAGUGAAACUAACACGAAAACUCAACAUAGUCCAAUUCCCAUUUAAUGACAGACAAGAAAUUCAUCCUAUGUACAUCUGUAAGCUGCAGUGUACUGUUAUACUACUUAAGACGAUGUAAGAAACCAGAAAAAUUGUUAUCAAUCGAAACUGGAGAAUAUGUAUGAUAAUAUUUUGAAGUUGAAUACUUUAAAAUUUACCCCCAUUUGGUUGAAAAAUAAAAUACAAUUUCGCUAUAAAAUCACCUGAAAAAAGAAACGCCUGCAACGAACUCGCGAUUUACGGAUUGUUAGACUCUUUAAAGGGGCAUUAGCUGUCAUUUUGUCAUAAAAAAUUGAAUUCAAUGAAAAUUGCCCCCAUCUUAUAUAUUUAAGUAACAACACCAGCAUUUAAUGAUUUCAGACACUUUUCACCCUCAAAGCAGGCACAUGAAUAUGUAAGUUCGGUGCUCUCCUCCUCCCUUAUAUAUUUCUUUACACUAAAAGCGGUUAUCUAACGUGGUUUUAUUAGGAUUCUCUUUUUUUUUUGUACAAAAUAAAUGUUUUUUUUAGUCAUUAAUAUAUAUUCCCAUGUCAUUGAGAAAUGUUGAAGAAAUGGUUCGCAUCACUUGCACAGCUAAUGCCCUUUUAAGUGUGGGGACUUGAAAUUUUGGGAGUUUUUCCAGUCUUCCUAACACUAAGCGAGAAGUCAGCGGAUCUCUUUCUAUCGGUUAGAUAAGCUACUACACUGUACUAAGUGUACUACACGUACUAGUAUCUCUGACGGUCAUGCAAUUUCAGCAAUCUUACCUAGGCUUUUUUGUAGAGUCUUUCUUGCUAGAAAUUCAAAAGAGAAGAACAGAGUUAAUGCGGUGCUAAAUACAUCAUAUAGUGUGCAAACACAGAUUAGGAAAGAGAGAUGAUGCCCAAUUAUUGAAAUGUACGCAUUAAAAAUGAAACAUCUUGUACAGUUCACACUAUGACGAUUCCAUUAAUCUAAAUACAAAUCAUGUCAUUAAUCAAAAGCUUCUCCUUCUCUGAUUUGAUAUGCACUUAUUUUUAAGAUAAACGCAAAAAAGAAAAAGAAAAGAAGAAAGUUUUCAUGCAGAAAAAAACUCAGAUUCGUCUAGUGCAAUCUAAUUAGUAUUAGAUCUGUGUAAUCCGCUCCUAUACGAUACACUUCAUGUAUUGAAAUGCAUCGUAUAAGAGUAAAAUAUACAGGUAUAUACAGGUAUAAUUUUAAUUAGAUUGCGCCUAAUGUAGACGCUUCACCCAGGCAUGCAAUAUCUAAAUCUAAGAAAGACUAUGUCUACUGAAAAACACGGUAACCGCAUAACUUGAGCUAGCAAGCAUGAUUCUCGAUUGUUUAAGAAAUAAGAUACCGGUUUUAAAUUUCAUUAGGCUGCAAGAUGCAGUGGAUCACUUAAUUAAUUCCUAAAACAACCUUCAUUAACCGAAGGUCGCUAAAAUAGAUUUAAUUAAAGUACCAACCACAUCAAUAUAGAAAUUGAUUACUUAUAAUUUACAUUUGUAGUUAGUAUGGAAUUUGAAGCUCUGUCGUUUUUAAAUUUGAAAUGGCAAUCAAAUUUAUCAUGACACUACAAUUAAAUGAUAUCACGUGACAUUAUGUUUCAUUUUUAUCGUGAACUGAACCACAAGUUCUGUUAUUAUAUGAAAAAGAACGUGUGUGUGUGUAAAUAUAUAGAACUGGUACACGGAUGCUGUGCACAUUGCCUGUCGUGACACAUCUUCACUACGUCGAGGCUUUGCGAAUACACUGAAAAGUUGGCGACCUCUUCCAUACGGUGUAAAGUUUACGUAUCCGCGAAAACUUUAACAUUGUUAAAAAUGAUUUUGUGUAAA